UCAAAACUUAACGUUACUGUAUAUGCUUUACUUAAUUUUUAUAAGAGAAUUAUGACAGAUAUCUUCAAAGAUUUGAUUUCAAGAUGUAAAACAUAAUGUGCACCCAGUUGGAGAAAAUCUUCAAAUGAUAUUGAUGAUAUUCGUCAUCUACAUACUCUAUUCACGUAUAACAGCUUGCAGUUAUAAAAGUUUACAGACUAAAAACUCAUCUCUUCAGAAAUUCAGUGAUUAUGUCUUACGUAGGGUUUACUUUUUACUACUCUUUAUAAGUAAAGUUAUAUGGAGAUUCUCUAAUAUUUUCAAAUGGACUUUUUGCGAUUAAUAGAUGCAAGACAAAAUUAAACAUUUUUUUUUGUGUGUUUUGAGAAAAAUUAACAUGUGAUAUCGCAAGCCAGAGUUCAUACAGAUACAGCUAUCUAAUUACUUUUCAGUAAAUAGUCUAUGAAAUCUUUUGAAAUUUCUCAGAUCAUGUUAUAACAAUUAUUAUAUCUUCGUUUUCAACAUUAUCAUCGUCAUCAUCGUCAUGUAAUGUGAAAAGUUUUCUGUAAAGUUGGAGAUUCUAGUUAUUAAUAGUUUACUUUAUAUUCUGUGAAUGUGCGUUCAUUAUUUGCACUGAACUCUUGAAGAAUUCAUUUUUAUUAUGUAUUUGAUCCAGCCCAGUCUAUGAGAUUGAUUCGCAUACAUCAUUCUAAUGAAUUUUGUACUCUCCUUUUCGGUUGGCUCCUUUUUGGAAUAAUGUUUUUGGCUUCUGCAGCAUAAUGUAUACUAUGUAUAAUACUUGUCGAAUUGUAUUCCUGUAAAUACCAGGAAUAUAUUCCUGUUAAUAAUUUCGUGAUACCAGUCCUGAGUUAUAAUAACUAAAUACGUAUUUUCACAUUUUUGGCGUCGUUAUCAUUCCUCAACGCUAUAUCAAUUUAUGUAAAGUUCGUUACGCCUUGAAAUGUGUGUGGUCGUCAACAUAGACGAUCUAUGGUCGUAUUUUUCUUGUUAUGGAGAUGACUGGUUACUUCCUUUUUUCUAAGUCCUUUUUAGCGAAAUUGCUAAUGCUGCUGCUUCCUUUUAAAUUCAGAAAUUUUCUUUCGCAAGACUGAAACAUUCUUUUAAUUUGAUUGGUAGCUAUUUAUGCAGAACAAGCUUGCAAAUUAAAAAGAUUGUUUUUAUAAAUUUUUAAUCUAACCAGAUAAGAUAUUAAACAAUGUUUUAAUGUUAUGAAACUCAGUAGGUGUAUUAUUCAUGGAUUUAAAGAUGAAAUGAUGUAGUAGCUGACCUUAAGAAAGUUAAUGUACGUGAUUAAUAUGCUUUCGAAUAAAAAUAGAAAAAUUGGAAAGUAUUCGUUAAAUGAGUACUUUUUCAUCAGUGACUGUAAUGCUUAAAAAUAAAAAUUCAUUGACUUCUAUAACACCCCCAUAUAGAAACUGUUGAAACCUACACUAACUUAAUUAGUAACGUAUACUGCAGAAACUCUUCAUUCGGUUGAGGCGAUAUUUAAACGAAGAGUAUUUUAGGCGAAAUAAUUUUGAGUAUCGAUAUACGCAAAAGCUCUUCAAUAUGUACACCGUUAUCUAAAUAUAUAACUUAUAACAGAACCUUUGUGAAUCUGUUAUAGCACAGACAACAAUAUUAUGGAUUAAUACGAAAAGUUACCUAAAUCUAAUCAGUUAUCUAAAUAUAUAACUUGUAACAGAACCUUUAUGAAUCUAUUGUAGCACAGACAACAAUAUUAUGAAUUGAUGCGAAAAGGUUUGUGUAUAUAUUAUGAAAUGCUGGAUAGCCGUUCCAUAUCGAAUGUGUAGAUAUGUCUGACCAUAUCAAUUGCUGGUGCGCUUUUUAUGUAGGAACAUAGGUAUUCUUUAUUGUUUUUUUUCCAUAUCUUUUUUUUUCUUUGUUAUAUUUAGGAACCUUAACAUUUGUGUUUCGCUCUUACACUGAGCCUAAAUAUCCUAAGAUUGAUGUAUGAUAUAUUAUAACUAUAUGUUUAAUAAUAUGGCUACGGACCUUGAAGCGAUGGAAUGCAUAUUAUUAUACUCAAAAGAAACUCAAAUACUCGACUAACCUGCGUACUUUUUUCCAGUUCUAUAAAUAGCAGUACUUCGCUAAUGGGAUUUCAUUAAAAUUGGAAGUUGAUCCGGAUCAAUAAGACAUUAAGGUCAUUAAGGAGGUCAUAUUAAAAAUCUAUACCAUCGAGCAGACGUAUUCAUAGCAUGUGAUCGGGAUUAGCAAAUCUGCUGUCGACUCGGUCAACACUAUCUUGCAUUUUACAAUUUUUUCGGAUUACUGAGGAUUCGGAGGAUAUCCGAAUUACUGGAGGCCUUAACUAACCCAAAGCCGUACUUAAUUGCAAAUGUGCUACAACAGCGCUCUAUUAAUUCAACUGAUCCAAACCUUGCAUCUGUAACGAUAAAAUCUGUAAAACCACACUUUCCCUGGAACCUAAGAAGUAUAGAUUCCUUUAAGCAAGCCAUCCGUCAGUGGCGAAUGUUAAGUUAAUUGGAAGAUCGACUUGUUCACACACUUACUCAACUUGAAGUUAAUCGGAGCUAAAUGCUAAACCAGUACCAUAAACGAAUAUUUUUGAUACAGUCAUUGGAGUGUGCCUAUACUGCAAUCUAUAUUAGCGCAAAACUGAACGUAACUGAUGCAAAACUAUUUCUCGUUACACAUAGUUGCAACAGCGAAUGUGAUUUUAUUCCAAGAUUUAUGACAAACGCUUUAAUGUCGGGUUAUAGUAUAUACCUACAUAUAUGUACACGUAUUAACCAUUGCUCACUACCGUUGUUGAUAUUAUUACAAUCCAAAAGGAUCCACCUAUUAUUGUUUCAAUUGGAAGUGAUAAGCAAUUGAAAGUGUCGUUUUGGUAGACUAUUGUUUUUGGAACGUAGACCUAGCCGCUUUUGGAUCCACUAUCUUCAUAUCGUCUGCCUUCGUUAAAUAAAACCAUACUUCUCUUGGCAGUCAAGUGGUCAUAACAACAAAGUGCAAACAUCUACUAUAUUCACCUGCUAUAUAUAUAUAUAUUCAAACACCUACUAUAUUCUGAUUUUUUUAAAAAACAUAACUA